GUCUGAGAGGAUGAUCAGCCACACUGGAACUGAGACACGGUCCAGACUCCUACGGGAGGCAGCAGUGGGGAAUAUUGCACAAUGGGCGCAAGCCUGAUGCAGCCAUGCCGCGUGUAUGAAGAAGGCCUUCGGGUUGUAAAGUACUUUCAGCAGUGAGGAAGGCGGGUGCGUUAAUAGCGUAUUCGUUUGACGUUAGCUGCAGAAGAAGCACCGGCUAACUCCGUGCCAGCAGCCGCGGUAAUACGGAGGGUGCGAGCGUUAAUCGGAAUUACUGGGCGUAAAGCGCAUGCAGGUGGUUUGUUAAGUCAGAUGUGAAAGCCCGGGGCUCAACCUCGGAAUUGCAUUUGAAACUGGCAGACUAGAGUACUGUAGAGGGGGGUAGAAUUUCAGGUGUAGCGGUGAAAUGCGUAGAGAUCUGAAGGAAUACCGGUGGCGAAGGCGGCCCCCUGGACAGAUACUGACACUCAGAUGCGAAAGCGUGGGGAGCAAACAGGAUUAGAUACCCUGGUAGUCCACGCCGUAAACGAUGUCUACUUGGAGGUUGUGGCCUUGAGCCGUGGCUUUCGGAGCUAACGCGUUAAGUAGACCGCCUGGGGAGUACGGUCGCAAGAUUAAAACUCAAAUGAAUUGACGGGGGCCCGCACAAGCGGUGGAGCAUGUGGUUUAAUUCGAUGCAACGCGAAGAACCUUACCUACUCUUGACAUCCUCAGAAGCUUGUAGAGAUACAAGUGUGCCUUCGGGAACUGAGAGACAGGUGCUGCAUGGCUGUCGUCAGCUCGUGUUGUGAAAUGUUGGGUUAAGUCCCGCAACGAGCGCAACCCUUAUCCUUGUUUGCCAGCACUUCGGGUGGGAACUCCAGGGAGACUGCCGGUGAUAAACCGGAGGAAGGUGGGGACGACGUCAAGUCAUCAUGGCCCUUACGAGUAGGGCUACACACGUGCUACAAUGGCGCAUACAGAGGGCGGCCAACUUGCGAGAGUGAGCGAAUCCCAAAAAGUGCGUCGUAGUCCGGAUUGGAGUCUGCAACUCGACUCCAUGAAGUCGGAAUCGCUAGUAAUCGUGGAUCAGAAUGCCACGGUGAAUACGUUCCCGGGCCUUGUACACACCGCCCGUCACACCAUGGGAGUGGGCUGCAAAAGAAGUGGGUAGUUUAACCUUCGGG
rnacentral:rRNA from 1 species